rnacentral:rRNA from 1 species
AGAUUGAACGCUAGCGGGAUGCUUUACACAUGCAAGUCGAACGGCAGCGCGGACUUCGGUCUGGCGGCGAGUGGCGAACGGGUGAGUAAUAUAUCGGAACGUGCCCAGUAGCGGGGGAUAACUACGCGAAAGCGUGGCUAAUACCGCAUACGCCCUACGGGGGAAAGGGGGGAUCGCAAGACCUCUCACUAUUGGAGCGGCCGAUAUCAGAUUAGCUAGUUGGUGAGGUAAAGCUCACCAAGGCGACGAUCUGUAGCGUGGCUUGAGAGGACGACCAGCCACUACUGGGACUGAACGACACGGGCCCCAGACCUCCGUAACGGGAGGCACGCGAGUGGGUAAUUUUGGACAAGUGGGGAAAGCCGUGACGC